UAGAGUAUCGGGUAUAUCACAUCGUCCGUUACUUGCACGUUUUUGAUUAUGUGAAUCUUAUAAGGAGAGACAGUUUAUAUCGAAAAAUAUAAACCACAAUCGGAGGCGGUCACUAACCUGGCUCUCCUUGUUAGUCUGAAGAAUUGGUGCAUUAAAGUGUUAAAAUAACAUCGUGGAACGAAUGUCCAGCAUGCUGGUCACAAUGGAUGUGUGUUGCGAACGGAAGUGCAGCGACCAAGGCGUGCACGGUGGCAUAGUUCAUUUCUAUCGAAGUCGCAGUGCAAUAUGACGUUGGGUUCUCUUGUGGUCGUCACGUGAGUCCCACAAUCAACGCGAGGUUUACGACGACAGGAUCAUGCGUGUGUUUCACGCGUACACGCGCUUAUGCGUUACGUGCGCGUAAAGAGAUGGCUAGAGCGAGUAACACAGGAAACGCAGCCCUGUGGUGCCCGCAUGGCUCGGAAUGCACGAGAAUAGAAUAGCGUUCGACUGUGUAUGGGGUUUCAUGUACAAUGAAAUGACGUCUACGUGCACAGUUCUGGACACGUACAUAGUAUGCGUGUACACAGCAUGGACGCUGGAGUUCAUCGUUGUGUGCGCAUAGAUUACCGUUUCCCAAAAUUUAUUCAUAGUCACUUCAGAUUUGACCAUUUUUAGAUAGAAAUAAUGAAACACGCAACUCCAUUAAAAUGAAAGACGUAACAGUGGUAAACACGAUGGCGUCCGAUAAAGAAAAUUCUUCUGUUUCUCAUUUAUCGACUUCAUAUUCUCGCUUAAAAUACAACUUUAAAUUGCUUUAAAGUAUUUAAUGUUAAAUAUUUAUUAUUAUAUAUUAUAUUAAUACAUAUGUGUGAUUUUUCUGGAGGAACAUCACGAACAAGAAUAAAAUG